GAUGAAGAACGUAGCGAAAUGCGAUACGUAAUGUGAAUUGCAAAUUCAGUGAAUCAUCGAGUCUUUGAACGCACAUUGCGCCCCUUGGUAUUCCAUGGGGCAUGCCUGUUCGAGCGUCAUUUGUACCUUCAAGCUUUGCUUGGUGUUGGGUGUUUGUCCAUUCUCUUGCAGAGGGACUCGCCUUAAAGUAAUUGGCAGCCAGUGUUUUGGUUUUGAAGCGCAGCACAAGUCGCGAUUCAACGCUAUACGCCAGCUUCCACAAGCCUUUUUCACUUUUGACCUCGGAUCAGGUAGGGAUACCCGCUGAACUUAAGCAUAUCAAUAAGCGGAGGA
rnacentral:misc_RNA from 1 species